rnacentral:rRNA from 1 species
ACCCGCUGAACUUAAGCAUAUCAAUAAGCGGAGGAAAAGAAACCAACAGGGAUUGCCCUAGUAACGGCGAGUGAAGCGGCAACAGCUCAAAUUUGAAAUCUGGCUUCGGCCCGAGUUGUAAUUUGUAGAGGAAGCUUCUGGCGCGGUGCCGUCCGAGUCCCCUGGAACGGGGCGCCAUAGAGGGUGAGAGCCCCGUAUGGACGGAUGCCUAGCCUGUGUGAAGCUCCUUCGACGAGUCGAGUAGUUUGGGAAUGCUGCUCAAAAUGGGAGGUAAAUUCCUUCUAAAGCUAAAUAUUGGCCAGAGACCGAUAGCGCACAAGUAGAGUGAUCGAAAGAUGAAAAGCACUUUGAAAAGAGGGUUAAACAGCACGUGAAAUUGUUGAAAGGGAAGCGCUUGUGACCAGACUUGCGUCAGGUUGAUCAUCCGGUGUUCUCACCGGUGCACUCUGCCUGGCACAGGCCAGCAUCAGUUUUGGCGGGGGGAUAAAGGGCGCGGGAACGUAGCUCCUCCGGGAGUGUUAUAGCCCGUGUCGCAAUACCCUCGCCGGGACUGAGGACCGCGCAUCUGCAAGGAUGCUGGCGUAAUGGUCAUCAGCGACCCGUCUUGAAACACGG